AUUUAAAAUAAAAAGUUGUCUCAUGUUGUUUCAAACAUCUAGUAAUAAUAUACGACAUUUUGGUCAAUACUGUGGUCAAGAAAUUCAAUAACAGCAUAUUUAUAUAAAAGCAGUCUAUAAACGUCGGUAGCCUAUAUAAGGACGACUUAAGAGCAGUCUCUGUUCAAAGCAUAAAUAUAGUUUAAAUAAAUGUCAGGCCAGGACGAGUUGUCACAUUUUUCGUUGUAAUGUUACAUAAUUUAUUAAUGACAUUUUCUGUUGGGAUAAAACCUUUGCAUACGGUAUCUUGUGCAAUUUGGCUGCUUCACAUAUUUUUUCCGUUUAAAUUUUAUUAAAAACCCGUAACAGGCUUCCUAUUUAAAAAAGUAUUGACUUUCAGAAAUAUUAACCAUAUGUCAUCAGACCUGUUUAUAUCACCACUGUAAAUUACUUGUAUAUUUUAAUAAACCUUUAAAUAUUAAAUACAUUUAUAUAGACGUCGAUUGAGAAUGCUGAAAACUAGUGGGCUUAAUUCAUAUAGGUUACUAUAGGAACUGUGCAACCUAUAGGCGACAUAGCAUCGCUCUGUGUCACUGUGAAAAGCGUGCGGCCGAUGGAGAGAGAGAGAGUGCGCAAGGGAGCGCGAGGUGCGUGCGUUCUGCGCGCGUAAAUGUGAUUGGUCGCUUGGCUGCCUGCUGCCAGAGUGACGUCACUGCAGGAGAGGACUGACAGCGGAGGAUGCAUUUAGUGAGAAACUAGACACAUCCAGGCUGGAGAGAGAGAUCAUCGUAUCCGCGGAGCUCAGAGGCAGCGCAGAGGCUUGCGGCGGAACGAGAACAUCGCGCGCAGGUUACGUGCAUUCGUGAUUUAAUAAAGUAAGAGCCUGCGUCUCCGAGCUCUUGCAUCCAUGCAUUUCUCAUGGGAGAAAUUCCCCAUCUUGGAAAUAAAAGUGCCUUUUCCGUUCUGUGGAUCAACGUUCGAGGGUUGAAUACUUAAGGACUGCGACUAUUUAUAAGGGAAAUGCAUCACCGGAGAGACAGGACAGGCGAGUGUGCUUUUAACAAAAGAUGCUCCGGUGCUGUGCAGAGAUUUCGCGUCGUACUCCUUAACGCAAGACGCACGGGAUCCUUUAUUUGUCUCCAACACACUGACACUCGCAGCUCACUUUCUAACACAGAGGAAUAUCCACGUCGUUUAAAAAAGUCAACUUUACGAGAUGUUCCGAAUUACAAAGGUUUGACGGGAGGUGGUUGCUAUCUUUGGUUAUCUAGCUGUAUGAGUGUUUAUCUUCCUUCAUAAAGCUAGAUAACCGAAAGUAGAAACGUCCUCCUUAACGGCACACUAGACAUGUUAACCGGGAAACAGUGAUCACGCGGGAAAAGCUGUGGGAGUUACGAGAACGCGCCUCUUAAUGUGAAGUGGGUUUGUGAGAGACCAUAGGACUAAACCUAAAAAACCUCAUCUGCAACUGCCAGCCAUUUACACGCUGCCUUUUUGGAGUAAGGAAAAAAUGGCGCAAUUGUCCGAAUGAAAGAAAAGGGAAAGAAAAAUAAUAGUCAGCCCUCAUCCUUCUCCUACCAGCUCCCCUCCCUUCCCUUCGUCAACGGAAGCAUUUAGUGCCAUCUGUGCCCCCGGAGAAAAGCAAAAAGAAAGGAGCGAGACUCUACAUCCCAAGUGCCAAUGGGGACAAAGAGGCUGCCAGUUGCCAUGGACCACCAGAUGCUGGGAGACUGCAACACUGAAUGAGGGGUGUGCUUACAGGAAGCCAUCUUGAUGGAGAAACUGCCUGCUGCUCCCUAAAAUGGCUGUGUUGGCAUGAGGUUUCUAGCAAUGAUCAAAAGUGUGGAAGAAAAUCACUGUCAACAUCUGCUGCAAAAACUGAGGCCAUGCAGCUAUUUAUAACUGAGGUGGUCAAUCACAGCACUUCAGGAAUCCAGCAUUUACUCCAGAUGGCUCACUGUAAAACAAACAGAUGUGAGAUGGAUUGAAAACCUGCACUAAUUGAUUUAACUGGGUGUCUGAAACCUUUCAUCCUUCAAGUAAUCACUAAUUUCUGAUGCUUGUGACUGAUUUUGUACAAUACGAUGGUUAAGCUAGUUAAAUUUCAGGUAGGCUGUUAAAACAAUGUGUUACGAGUGCUAUGUAAAGUGAAGAAUAAUAUGCACUAAUGUGUGAAAUGUUUACAAAAAUGGUUUCUCUGCAUUAAUACACAAUCUCAAAGCUUUACUCAUUUGCAUUUCCUAUUUUGAAUGUAUACAUUAAAUGCCACUGUCUGUAUAUGAAUUGUUGGGAUCUAUUAAAAUGUGAAGUUUUGAUGGAUGUAUAAGAAAAAAAACUUGAUCUGGUUAUGUCGAAUACUUGAAUGAUGUUUCUGCAUUUACUGUUCCUCAGGAAAUAAAUCCUUCAACUAUAAAAUCAAACAUAAUUAAGUUACUGAUAAAAUACUGAUGUCUUCACUAUAGACAUUUUUAAUGAGGUAGACGUCAACCACAUCUUCACAUGGUGGCCACAAGCUGUUUUGAAGCUUAUAGACCUGGCACUCCCAUCAGCACCUUGGACAGCACAUAACCAUAUGACGCGGGAAAUAACCAAUGAAUCACUUUUCUUAUUCAUGUGGACAAAACAGAAAUAAAGUAAUAUGUGCAAGUCA